ACUGUCAGAGGAAAAUUGGAAGUGAAAAAGAUUUUUGCAGAGAUUUUCCUUGGUCAAUUGAGCAACCAGCCACAUUAGCUGCUGUAGAUAUGGACUUUACUGUCAGAGGAAAAUUGGAAGUGAACAAAAUUUUUGCAGAGAUUUUCCUUGAUCAAGAGUGCAACCAGAUACGUUAGCUGCUGUGGAUAUGGACUUUACUGUCAGAGGAAAAUUGGAAGUGAAAAAGAUUUUUGCAGAGAUUUUCAUUGAUCAAGAGUGCAACCAGCCACAUUA